UUGGGAGCUGGUUCGUGGCAGGUUAAAUUGGCCAGUUGCUGGAGCUAAAGGUGGAUUUUGCUUUUAGCUCAGAGAGUGAGCUCUGAAGAAACAGUAUUAGGGAUCUGUGAAUCCCACAGAUCAUAUGAGCGCCGUUGAGGUGUUAUGGUUGCUACUACCCAGGCCUACCUAGCAUAAUCAGCAGUAGAUAACAGAAAUAACUUGGGCAAAAGUACUGGGCAGUUGUUUCAUCAGGAUGAAAUAUUCUUUCUGAAUUUUGCCUACUUGCUAGACCUAUUUUUAUCAACUUGAGACACAACUAUCUUUUUUCCAAGUCAAGAAACCUGUUAACAUUGCUAAGAGACAACAGUACGAUCAUCUGUCACACAAUUUACUAAACCCAAGCACCGAGUAAGCAGG